CUUUCAAAUAAGAUUUAUAUGAUAUAAAUUUUCAUUAAAAAAACUUGGAAUGUUUGACCAUACAGGAAAAGAUAAUUGAAGAAAGACUUACUAAGGAAAUAAAAGUGAAAGUACACUUUGGUCAGGUAUUAAGUCCAGGUAUUAAAAUUAGCAUACCAAAAUACAAAAUUUUAUGUAUAACCUGUUUAUUAAAUCAAAGUAUUUCUAAUGCCUUUCUUUUCUGUUCUUUCAUUUUGAUCCAUAUCGACUUUAAUGCCACGACUGGCUCACUAGCAUCCAAAGCCUCUGGGAUGUGUUCUGACUGUAAAAACUCUGAUGUUGUGAAAAAAGCUUACGCUUUGCCUCCACUCAAACCAGAUGGUGUUUCGCUCUUAUUGCCCAGGCUGGAGUGCAAUGACGUGAUCUUGACUCACCACAGCCUCUGCAUCCAGGAUUCAAGCUAUUCCCCUGCCUCAGCCUCCCAAAAUGCUGGGAUUAUAGGCGUGAGCCACCACGCCUGGCCAGCAUUCCCAAUUUUUAAAAAUGAAUGAUUGGCACAAAUCUUAGAAAGCCAUUUUCUGUAGAUUUGAAAGCAAUGCUAUUUACAUUGUUACUACUUUCUUGUUAAAUCUUGCAUGUCUGCAGUAUGUGUUGUAAUAGAAACCUAAGAUUAUGAUCUGCUGUAUUCAUAUUUGAAGAAGAAAAUUUCAGACUGUAUAAUCAACUAGUUGAUGAUUCAUAUUUGCUUGUACAAAGUUAAAAGUGUAACUUGCCAGAAAAGAAGGAAGCCUGAAAAGUAUUCUAAAUACAUUAAUAAGAAGGGUUCUACAUGAAUUAAUUUUUGUUUUGCCAUCUACAGAGUUCCUGCCACAUUCUAGGCACUUCAUAUUUGCUGCAACAUUUAUUCAGACAUUGACAGAACAAGAGAAACGAAGUUAAAUUUUAAGUACCAUGGAUUGAAAUUAAAUUUAGGGAAGAUAUUUUAUAGUAUGAAUUGUUCAUCUGUAUUUAACAAGGUAUUCAUUUAUUUUGGGCGAUUUAAGGAAGGUCCUUUCUGGAAACAGGAUUACAAACAUAUGGACCUAUUUAGUCAAUUUCAACCUUGUGAUUUUGAAUCUGACAGGUUCUCAGCUGCUUUUAUUAAAUAACGGAUUUUCUUAAUAAUUACUGUACUCAAACUUAGCAAAAAGCUCUAUUUAUAGCCCAGUUUUUUAGUCACACACUAUUGUGUCUUGUCAAAUUGAAACCAUAUACUACAUUCUUUACUUAUUAAGAUGGUCUUUCUUUGUAAUAAUUUUGGAGUAAAUAGUUUACUUAUCUAAACCUCUGAUUUCUGAUUUAACAGAUUUUUGAAGCAUUUAUUUUCCUUACCAUACAUAAAAAUUGUCAGUUGAGGACAAGGAAGGAUUAACCUGGACUACGGUGAAUAAUUGUUCAGGUUGCUUACUGUGUAACUCCAGAGGAGCAUUCACAUGGUACAAUUUGCAGAUUUAAGUAUUUAUUACAACCAUUUUCUGGCAGAUAACAGUGGAACACCCUGUUCUGUUAAAAUUAGUUUAUUAUGACAAAUUGCCUACAGAUGGACAUAAACUGUCUUGAGGAAGGGCACCUGCUUUGGACUGAAUCGUGUCCCCCCAAAAUCAAAUGUUGAAGCCUAAUCUCUAAUAUGAUGGUAUUUGGAGAUGGGGCCUUUGGGAGAUAACUAGGUUUAGAUGAGGUCAAGAGUGUGGGGCCUUCCUGAUUAGUACCCUGAAAAGAGAAAACACCAGAGAGCUUGCCCUCUCUCCCUCUUACCCCACAGGCACACAAAGAGGUCAUGUGAGUACACAGUGAGAUAACAACCACCUAUGAGAAAACAGAAGAGGCUUCAGAGUGAAAUCUACUUUGCUGGUACUGUAAUCUUGGACAUUAUUCUCUAGAACUGUGAGAUAAUAAAUUUAUCUUAUUUAAGCCACCCAGUCUAUGGUAUUUUGUUAUGGCACCCUGAACUAAGACAAAUUUUGGUACCAAGAAAUGGGGGUGCUACUGUAACUAAUACCUAAACAUGGGGAAAUGACUUUGGAAUUGGAUAGUGAGUAGAGGCUCAAGAAUUUUCAGGUGCAUCCUAAACAUAUGAACAAACAGUAAAGGUGAUUCUGGUGAGACCUCAGAUGGAAUUGAGGAAUAUGUUAUUGGAAACUGGAAGGACGGUGAUCCUUGUUACAAAGUGGCAAAAAACUUAGGUGAACUGUAUUCUAGUGUUUUGAGGAAGGUAGAACUUGUGAGUGAUGAAAUUAAAUAUUUGACAUUUCUAAGCAAUAUGAUGAAGGAGCAGCUGGUUUCCUCCUGACCAUUUCUG
rnacentral:lncRNA from 1 species